AGCAGUUUAGCUAAAGAGUUUGAUGGUCACAGCUGUUCAUAUGCGACACAAAGCCACAGUAACACUCCAGUUAUAGAGAAACAUUUGCACACGUGUUUUGUGACGUGACGUGCGUAACGUUAAAUAACGGAACUGCUUUCUUUUCUGUUCACCAACAAACUCACUUAGGCUAAAUCCACUGAUGCUAACUGCAUGUGGUUCACCGGCUGAGGAAGCGUUGCUAGCUUUAAAGUGAACUAAUCCAGCUGCAGUGCAUUCAGUGUUCAAUUAUUUUUUUAGUCGUCAGAAAAUGUAGAGUUUAAAACGAUCCAAAUGUCAUUUGGUCUGUGAGCAUGGAUGAGACGCGAAGUACAACAGCACCUAUUUUGAUGCGCAUUUAGUAUGACAAGUUGACGGUCUGUCUCGUUUUUCGUCUGUGACCUAUUUGAAUGGUGACGUCACGCCGUUAAUCUUUAAUUUCCGAGCACGCUGUGCGCAAAAACAUUCAGUCUCACCGUUUGAAAGCAGCUGGAUUAGAAGUUCCUAUCUAAAUCACCCAUCUAGCUCUACCGCUAAAAUGGGGUCCAAUGGAGACCUCAACGCAAACUCACAAUGUCUCAGCAGCACUGGGGACCUGGUCCUGGACAAAGCAGUCAAACAGUGGAUGGCCUGGGAUAAGAAUCCUCAGACAUGGAAGCAGAUGGAGUCUUUGGUGCGAGAGGGCCGUGUGGUGGAGCUGAGAAGGAGGUUGUGCUCCAGGAUGACGUUCGGGACAGCUGGAUUGAGAGCGGAGAUGGGUGCGGGGUUUGCUUGCAUCAAUGACCUAACUGUCAUCCAGUCUACACAGGGGAUGUACAAGUACUUAGCCAAAUAUGUCCCUGACCUGAAAACAAGAGGGCUGGUGGUUGGUUUUGACACUCGUGCCCAAACAAGUAGUGGCUGCACCAGUGAACGACUUGCAAGGUUGACUGCUGCUGUUAUGCUUUGUAAAGAUAUCCCUGUCUAUCUAUUCUCUACAUAUGUGCCUACCCCAUUUGUGCCAUACGCUGUGAAGAAGUAUGGAGCUGCAGCUGGAGUCAUGAUCACUGCAUCUCAUAACAGAAAAGAGGACAAUGGAUACAAGGUUUACUGGCACAAUGGUGCACAGAUCUCCUCUCCACAUGAUAAGGAGAUCUUGCGUUGCAUUGAGGAGAAUAGUGAACCCUGGUCCGAAUCCUGGAAUGAGGACCUAGUUGAAAGCAGCCUCUUACAGAGAGACCCACUGGAGGACGUCUGCCGCUGGUACAUGGAAGAGCUAAACACUAUCUGCUUCCACAGAGAACUUAAUGCAAAGUCUCCCCUGAAGUUUGUACACUCAUCUUUCCAUGGUGUUGGUCACAACUAUGUCCAGAGAGCCUUUCAGCAGUUUGGCUUUCCACCUCCCAUCCCUGUUCCAGAACAGAAAGAUCCAGAUCCAGAUUUUUCCACUGUCAGUUGUCCUAACCCAGAGGAAGGAGAAUCGGUUUUGGAGCUGUCUCUUCGUUUGGCUGAGAGAGAAGAGGCCCGCAUUGUUGUGGCCACAGACCCUGAUGCUGAUCGUUUGGCUGUUGCAGAGCAGAAUGACAAUUGUGGUUGGAAAGUGUUCACGGGAAAUGAGUUGGCUGCAUUGCUCGGCUGGUGGAUGUUGUUUAACUGGAAGGAAGCACACCCUGACCCAGCAGAUACUGAGAGAGUAUACAUGCUGGCCACCACUGUUUCUUCCAAAAUACUUAAAGCCUUUGCACGCAUAGAAGGCUUUCAUUUUGAGGAAACAUUGCCUGGCUUCAAAUGGAUUGGAAAUAGAAUCCAUGAAUUAACAAAAACCGGAAAGGAGGUCAUUUUUUCCUUUGAAGAAUCCAUUGGGUUUUUGUGUGGGAACAUGGUUCUUGAUAAGGAUGGGGUCAGUACAGCAGCUGUUGUGGCUGAGAUGGCUGCUUAUCUACACACCAAAAACCUUUCCUUGAACCAACAACUAAUCAACAUCUAUGAAAUAUAUGGCUAUCACAUUUCCAGAACAUCCUAUGUCAUCUGCAAUGACCCACCAACUAUUCAUAGAAUAUUUAGUCGUCUGCGCAAUUUUGGGGGUCCAAGUGUUUACCCAGAAUCAUGUGGAGACUACUGCAUCACGCGCAUCAGAGAUGUUACCACUGGUUAUGACAGCAGUCAGCCUGACAAGAAAUGUGUCCUUCCAUUGUCAAAAAAUAGCCAAAUGGUCACAUUCACAUUUCAGAAUGGCAUUGUUGCAACACUUAGGACCAGCGGGACUGAGCCAAAGAUCAAGUAUUACACAGAAUUCUGUGCUGCACCAGGAGAACGUGAUAUCUCCAGUCUGGAGGAAGAGUUAAGGAAAAUGACCGCUGCUCUAGUUGAAGAAUUUCUAGAGCCUGACAAGAACAACCUGCUUCGCAGAUCAGUGUAGCUUAAUUUAAAUAGUGGUAAGAUCAUUGUCUUCAUGGGCAUCUCGUGUAGUAUGUACCAGUCCCAAAGGCCUGUUCUGUUAGUGUUGUUUUAUCACUGUGAAAUGAUUUGAAGCAUAAUCACCUUAUGGCUCAAACAAAAAAGUAAAGAUGACUGCUUAUAUAUAUAUAUAUAAACCACUAAAAUUAAUGACAAAAUAUCGUCAUGAUCAAUUUGCUCUUUUGCAAUUGAAUGUCUUGCUCAGAGAAAGAAAACCUCAAUGCUUUGAUUUUAUUUGUGUAACAUUUUUCAAGGGUGUCACAUUACCACCAUAACUUCUGCUGUGUUAUGCUUGCUAUGGUUCGAUGUUUUCUGGUGACCAGAUUUCAGUAUCACUCUACGUAGACAAUAUGGUAGACAUGGUCUGCUCGUUUUUCUCAGAGGUUUUGCUGAGAGCUGCUGCUGCUACCUUUUUAAAGCUCUAUGAGCAUGUGUAUUUGUUGUGCUCUCAUAAACCUGUGUCCAUGUUGUAUUUAUUUCUCUAUCUCUGUUGAUGCUCACACCCUUUAUACAUUGUUAUAUGCAUUGAUAAUCAGUAGGCAGGCAGGACAGCACCUUGUUGCUCCCUGAAUUUCUGCUGGCUUUGUCACGAUGAAUACGCACAGGGUAAUGAAUAGAAGAAUCGAUGUAUUAUUUUUGAAGUUUUUGAUUUCUGCCGUGUUUGAUGGGCAUAUUUGACCUUUGUGGGGUAUAUACACAAUAAAUCAAAGGUUCAAUGUGCAAACAAGACAAGCAAGGCAUUACAUUCUACCAAUAGAAAGAGACCAGGAGAAGGAAGAUAAUCAUUGACUCUUUAGUCAUUUGGUUAUUUAAACGCGCAUAAGAAAAAAAAAACACCAGGGGUCCGUUGUUCAUACCUUGCUUAAUAGAUCUGAGAUGAUUUUCUAAUCGUGAUAACUGAUCUACUGGCUAAUUUGGUUCUUCAAAUGAGUUUGCAGAUUUGAUUAAAAUAUCUGGAUAAAGUUGUCUAAGAUUACUGCACGUUCUAGUGUUGGGCUGAUGUAUCAAUACUCAAAAUCAUCAGCAAUGCAGCGAUUGGCUGAUGGCAAGACAGCAACGUAAUGACAUCAUAUAAUUAAAAAAAAUCUGACGAAAAGCUUGACCAAAUUAAGGACCUUUAUAAGGAAAUAGCCAAGCGAACAAAAUAAAUUUUAGAUAAAUUAAAUGUGCAGUGUUUUUAUUUUAGUUUGUUUUACAUGAUUGUCAAUGUUGUAACUAACAAUUCAUUUAAUUUUAUCUUUGAAGCAGAAUUAUGUGACCGCAUUUAAUUAAAGUUUCUUAAGUGUCAAGAUCCAGUUAUGUGCAUCUCCUGCGCUCCAUCGAGCCACUCCCAUAAUCGCUAUCACCACUCAAAUUAAUGCACGACUCACAUUAACUGUAUAGCAUGCGUGUUAGACUCCAAUUAUAAGGGUAAUUAUUUUAUGACGAAUAAAUCUUUCAAUGAGUAAAACUCUAUAGUAUUAUAGACUACACACCAUUGUGUUAUUUUCAAAUUAUAUAUUUUUUUAUUAUUAUUUUAAAUUAUUGUCACUGAAUCAGUGGGAUACACUUGUAAUAAAGUAGGGUGGCUGGGACAGAUUUUAAGUAUCAAUUCUGCUUAAAAAGAUGUGAUCUAAUCCUAUUUACUUGGAACAAGCCUGCUCCCGAGCAGGUUUAAGCUUACAGACCUGUUGCUGUGACAGCAACUCCGGGAUGAGCUUUGAAGAAUCAACCAAUCCAAGAUCAUGCUAAAUCGUCAACCAUCAAAUCCAGCUAACCGAGUUAGCAGCAUACGAAGAACGGACCCCAGAAUAGAAAUGCUGGUGACUGUACUGUUUGACAAUUUUAUUUCCUAUCAGUUCUCAAGCACUUAUUCCUUUGCAAAAAGAAACUAAUUAUUUUGGCAGUUUCUUGAUUUAGGUUUUAGUAUGGAGUUCAGCUUUUCUAAAUACAAUAAUGACACCCCCCGCCCCCCCAUUAGAUUUACAUAUGUAUCUGUCUUAAUAUUGAAUUUGUGCCAUUAAUACCCUGCUAUUUUGUUAUACUGAGUGUGUUUUAAAAAUAUCCUCAGUGUACUAUUGCUUGAUUAAAGAUACUAUAUAGUCCUAUUCAGAUCCAAAUAAACAAUCAUAAAAAGAAAUGUGAAAUAUUUUAGUGUUUGAAAGAGUAAUAAAGUAAUAGUUUAGUUGACCUCACUGGUCGAGAAGGUCAAAUAGAGUGUACCUGUUGUUGUUGUUUUUUUGUUUUUUUUUAAACGAGUGAUAGGUUUGGAAAACCAAAUAAAUUGGUUAAGUGUAAUGUGUAUAAGUACAGAUUGUUUUUAUUUUCCUUUCUGCAUUAUAGUUUCAAGUGAGAUAUUUAUUUGCAGUGUAACAUUCCUUGUGUAUGUGUAUUAUAUGUACACCCCUCUACAAAUAAAUUGUUGUAU